rnacentral:rRNA from 1 species
CCUACGGGUGGCAGCAGUAGGGAAUUUUGCGCAAUGGGCGAAAGCCUGACGCAGCAACGCCGCGUGAUCGAGACGCCCUUCAGGGUGUAAAGAUCUGUCAGUGGGGACGGAACUUGCCGGUACCCACAGAGGUAGCACCGGCUAACGCCGGGCCAGCAGCGGCGGUAAUACGGGGGGUGCAAGCGUUGUCCGGAGUCAUUGGGCGUAAAGCGUUCGUAGGCGGCACGUAAAGUCUGGUGUUAAAGGCAGAGGCUCAACUUCUGUACGGCAUUGGAUACUUGCGAGCUAGAAUGCGGUAGGGGUAAGGGGAAUGCAUGGUGUAGCGGUGAAAUGCUUAGAUAUCAGGAGGAACAUCGGUGGCGUAAGCGCUUUACUGGGCCGCAAUUGACGCUGAGGAACGAAAGCCAGGGGAGCAAAUGGGAUUAGAUACCCUGGUAGUC